GUCCCAGUUCGGACUGUAGUCUGCAACCCGACUACACGAAGCUGGAAUCGCUAGUAAUCGCGAAUCAGCAUGUCGCGGUGAAUACGUUCCCGGGUCUUGUACACACCGCCCGUCACACCAUGGGAGUCGAUAACGCCCGAAGUCGGUGACCCAACCGCAAGGAGGGAGCCGCCGAAGGCGGGAUUGGUAACUGGGGUGAAGUCGUAACAAGGUAAC
rnacentral:rRNA from 1 species